GUAUUGCAGCAGAGCGAUGUCAGGAAGCUCAUCCAGAGGUCUGGAUGCUACCAAUGGACUUCAGAGACCACUUGACUUCUCCUAGAGUCAGAAACUAAGCUGGACCCUGAUUUCUGUGGAGGAGCCGGAGAGUGAGAGUUAAGUCUGCUAGAUGAUGACAGAUGGGACCAGGCUGGGGCAAGACACUGGAGACAGAGAUGGAACGAAGAUAAGCCAACUUUCCAGACCAAACUCCUCUCACUCAGGCCAUGGGAAAAGUAAGUCAUUUCCAGGGUCCAGGAGGUCUGAAGAUAUUCAAGCUUC
rnacentral:lncRNA from 1 species